rnacentral:lncRNA from 1 species
GAUGUGUCAUUCGAUUUUUGUAUCUUUUCUGUCUUCUUUUUUAUGGCUGCCAUGACAACAAAAGUAUCUGUAUCUUUGUGUGGCUGUGGCUGUAACAGUGUCCAUGAUGUUGAGGCAUUUAUGACUUGCCAUAUACAUUUUUUUUUGGGGCCACCUAUCCGAGUGUGUGUGUGUGUGUAGGAAGCCAUAAAUUGUGGCAUAUACUUAGAGAUACUUUCUCACAUCUGUGUCUGGAUGUUUGCUCAUUGUCUUGCCAUUGACAAUAGCCGAAUCGGAAUCCGAAUCCGAAUCCGAGUCCGAAUCGAUAAGGAAACCCUAGAGGAACGAACGCACACGGAUGAGUAAUGAUUGCAGGCUAGGCCUUCCACUUAAUGGUGGUUCCUCUCCUGCCUGCGGGGCAGCUUAAACAGAUCCCAGCCGAUCCAGUACAAUCCCCAGCUAAGCUGCCUGCCGCCUGCCGCCUGCCGCCUGUUGUGCCACAAGAGGC